AAAGGAAUAGACGGGGGCCCGCACAAGCGGUGGAGUAUGUGGUUUAAUUCGAAGCAACGCGAAGAACCUUACCAAGGCUUGACAUGGACUCGCAAGCCGUGGAAACACGGCCCUCUUCGGACGGGUCACACAGGUGGUGCAUGGUUGUCGUCAGCUCGUGUCGUGAGAUGUUGGGUUAAGUCCCGCAACGAGCGCAACCCUUGCCGUCAGUAGCCAUCAUUAAGUUGGGCACUCUGGCGGGACUGCCGCGGAUAACGCGGAGGAAGGCGGGGACGACGUCAAAUCAUCAUGCCCCUUAUGUCUUGGGCUACACACGUACUACAAUGGGCGAGAACAAAGCGAGGCAAGCGCGCGAGCGUGAGCAAACCGCAAAAAAGCGCCCUCAGUUCGGAUCGCGGUCUGCAACCCGACCGCGUGAAGUCGGAAUCGCUAGUAAUCGCGGAUCAGCAUGCCGCGGUGAAUACGUUCCCGGGCCUUGUACACACCGCCCGU
rnacentral:rRNA from 1 species